AUACGUAGGGAGCGAGCGUUGUCCGGAAUUACUGGGUGUAAAGGGAGCGUAGGCGGGACGGCAAGUCAGAUGUGAAAUACAUGGGCUCAACCCAUGGGCUGCAUUUGAAACUGCUGUUCUUGAGUGAAGUAGAGGUAAGCGGAAUUCCUGGUGUAGCGGUGAAAUGCGUAGAUAUCAGGAGGAACACCGGUGGCGAAGGCGGCUUACGGGGCUUUUACGGACGAUGAGGCUCGAAAGCGUGGGGAGCAAACAGGAUUAGAUACCCGGGUAGUCCACGCGGUAAACGUGGAUCACUAGGGGUGGGGGGUCUGAGCCCUUUCGUGCUGCAGUUAACGCAAUAAGUGAUCCGCCUGGGGAGUACGGCCGCAAGGUUGAAACUUAAAGGAAUUGGCGGGG
rnacentral:rRNA from 1 species